UCUGGCAGCCACACCACUUUGUGCUGUGAGCCUGACAGUUCUUACUAGCUAAGGGUUGGCCUGCUUUGGUGCGAGGAUGAGAGACCUCCCAGGAACAAGUUGGUACUCAGGA
rnacentral:rRNA from 1 species